rnacentral:rRNA from 1 species
GAUGAACGCUGACAGAAUGCUUAACACAUGCAAGUCUUUGGCGAAUCUGCGCUUGCGCAGGCUAGCCAAGGCGGACGGGUGAGUAGCGCGUAGAGAACUUGCCCUGCAGACAGGGAUAACAGACGGAAACGACUGACAACACCUGAUACGGUUGCCGGCACGCAUGUGCCAGGCAAUGAAAAGCGAUGCUGCAGGAGAGCUUUGCGUCCUAUUAGCUUGUUGGUGAGGUAACGGCUCACCAAGGCGACGAUAGGUAGCCGGCCUGAGAGGGUGAACGGCCACAAGGGGACUGAGAUACGGCCCUUACUCCUACGGGAGGCAGCAGUGGGGAAUAUUGGACAAUGGGGGCAACCCUGAUCCAGCAAUUCUGUGUGCACGAAGAAGGCUUUCGGGCUGUAAAGUGCUUUCAGCAGGGAAGAAGCAAGUGACGGUACCUGCAGAAGAAGCGACGGCUAAAUACGUGCCAGCAGCCGCGGUAAUACGUAUGUCGCAAGCGUUAUCCGGAAUUAUUGGGCAUAAAGGGCAUCUAGGCGGCCAGGCAAGUCUGGGGUGAAAACCUGCGGCUCAACCGCAGGCCUGCCCUGGAAACUGCGUGGCUAGAGUGCUGGAGAGGUGGACGGAACUGCACGAGUAGAGGUGAAAUUCGUAGAUAUGUGCAGGAAUGCCGAUGAUGAAGAUAGUUCACUGGACGGCAACUGACGCUGAAGUGCGAAAGCCGGGGGAGCGAACAGG